CAGUAGCCGCGGGAAUACGGAGGGUGCAAGCGUUAUCCGGAUUUAUUGGGUUUAAAGGGUCCGUAGGCGGACUUAUAAGUCAGUGGUGAAAGCCUGUCGCUUAACGAUAGAACUGCCAUUGAUACUGUAAGUCUUGAGUAUAUUUGAGGUAGCUGGAAUAAGUAGUGUAGCGGUGAAAUGCAUAGAUAUUACUUAGAACAACAAUUGCGAAGGCAGGUUACCAAGAUAUAACUGACGCUGAGGGACGAAAGCGUGGGUAGCGAACAGGAUUAGAUACCCCAGUAGUCCCUGUCUCUUAUAC
rnacentral:rRNA from 1 species